ensembl:lncRNA
GGCGGGGCCUGCCCCGCCCCGUGUCCAUGGCAACAGACGUAUGCCUGUCCUGCAGAGCGGUCAGGGGCCAGUGCCACCCUGUACUUUCCUGCCUCCCACAAGCUACUGGGCUGCAGGUCGACGGUGACUUAGAAACAAUCUUUUAACUUCUGGACUGUUGAGACUGCCACGACAGGAGGGGGGAGUAGAGAGGCAGUCUGGGGUCCCAAACGGCUGCACCGGAGGGGAUCCUUUGCAGAGGUUGGGAAGUGCAGAACAGCAGUACACCUCUGGCCUUUGUUUCACCCUAGGUACUGUCACUUUGUCUCACUGAGGGCUUCCCGACAGACCUGGGAACCACUUGCUCCCAUUUUACAGCUGAAGCUCACAGAGGAAGCGGGAUCCCAUCUCGGACAGCGCAGACAGCAGCUACCUCCAAGACUCGGCGUCUACCUCUCCCCUCUUCUGCCCCCCUUCCCCCCGCCAAACGGAGCACAGAGGUUGGUUCUCUCUGAAGCGGUGAUGAGAUCCUCCAAUUCAGAUGACAAAUGGAGAAUGCACAUGCAGUGUAAGAUGCUCUGCAAGCCCUGCCGCCAGCCAUCUCCCACCCUCUGAAGGCCAACCCCUGGCCACUCACAGCCUAGUUAGGGCUACCCCUGCAGGACUCGCCAUGACUGAGGGACCAGCCAGCCUCAAGCCACCUGGAGUCAGCUUUGCUAUUUCCUCUAGAGCCAGGAAAUGCAGUUUUCUUCAGGUGAGUCAAGGCAGAAAGUCUAGUGAACACCACAGCAUAAAAAGAGCCUGCCAGCCAACUGUCUUCUGUUCCCACCCCCAGAGGUGCCAUCUCAGCAUCCACACUGCUCUAAGUUGUAUCACCCAGCCACAGAGCUGUUCAGACAAUUCCUUGAUUAAACAACACUGCCUUCUUCAGUUUACAUUUUAUUUUACAAAAAGAGAAAUAAAGAAAACUGAUAGGCAGUUAUACUGACUUACAAUUGUUCUGUUUGCUUUUUUAAAAAAGUGACAUGAAACACAAGUAAAAAUAAAUACGUCAUAGAAACAGCCAGUUGCCCAGUCUCUAGGGCAGGAGCACCUGCCCUGCUGAGAGAGGAGGGAAGCCCGUGAUCACACCAGCAGCUGGAGCACUCAGCUACAGGUGCUCCUCAAAGCCAGGCGCAGGUCCCAGGCCUCAGGGGGCGUCCUGAGGAAAGAAGACGGAAAACCAAAGCCAGGUGCCAGGUCACAGUAUGAGGUCCCCUCUUCUGAAUAUUAUCCCAAUAGUGGUAACGGAGUACUCAGAUCUCCCCCGGCCCCAUCACUACCGCCUGUCUAGUUACCUCUCCCCCACACACUAGAUGAUGAUAGCAAACAGACCUCUGAGAGAGGAAAGGAGACCAAGUCCCCAAACCACAGAGAAGGUGGACUCUGCCUGCUCAGCAAGUUCAUCGUUAAGACUCGGGUAUUCAUAAAAGGACUAGAGCCAAGCCAGUGGCACAGCACACACGCAAAGGGGUCACAGUGGAAUAUACAGGGCAGAAGAGUCAGUCAGAAGGAGAGUCUGCAGGUGAGUGAGUGGAGAGCAUAACCUUCUCAGACAGACCAUGAGGUGCAGACUUCUUUCUUGGGAACAGUCUGCCAAGGGCCAGAAAAGUCUGCUAGGGAUCUAAAGGUGGGAGGAGCUCCUCUCUCAGGAGUUUUGGUGCAAGGAGAGUCACUGAGCUGGGUGCACAGGAGGCCACUGCUCAGAGAGGAGACUGGUCUCCUGUAGAAUCACAGGGGACUGGGAAGCACGAGGGGGUUAUGAACAGAAACAGAGAAACAGGAAUGUAAAGCCCCAGAAGACCUUCCCCCAAGGGAUGAGGACUCAAUUCAGAGCGAUGCCAGGCAUACACAGACAAGAGUGCCUUGCUCUGACUGCUGUGGAGUGACAGUCCCACCCAGACUGCUAAAAGCUUGGUUGAGUGUUUCAACCUAUCAGCAAAAUGUUACCCCAGCUACUUGCUUCAUGUCCUGGAGUGGGAAAUGUUCAUAUUUAGUUGUGAAUCACAAGUAUAUAUAGAUUCUACACACUAGUUCCUAGGCAAUAAGAGUUCUAAAGACCAGAGAUAUCCUGUAGUCAGAAGAUGCUUAAGAUAGAUGCUUGAGAAGCAUAACUCGAGGCCAUGAGAACUCUGCAGAUAUCUAAUUUGAAAAUGAUAUGGAUCCAACAUGGUUCACUUACUUUCUCACUUCAACGGCUAAUCUGUCUCUGUUGAAUUUUUAUCUACAAAGAUACUGAGACAGCAAAUCAAGCAUUACUACAAGUGAUGUAGUCCUGAAUCAUUACAUAGUACUAUAUCCCCAAGAUUGAGGACUUAGGCUAAACCAGACAGACGGGGCAUGACAGGCCCUUGAAAACACACUAUGGAAGACAGCAGUGAGGGAAGAUGGCUAAACCUGAUCUGCCCUCCCUCUUACCAUCCUUCCCUUACUCAAGCCAGAAUGGUGGGUGGGCAUCACUGCCGAGUUGUUUCUCAUCAGAGGAACAGUAAAACAUCGUUCUUAGGUCCUGAGACAGCUCCUGCUUCCCUCACACAUGCAUGCACGCUUGCCUACCUGCACACAGAGAUAGCAGAAAUGUCAGAGAAGUGUUUUCAGGUUCUUUUUUUUUUUUUUGUAAAGGAAAACCACGGAACCAGCAGCACUCUAAUUUCCCAUGAUCCUAGCCCUACUCCCUUAUACAGCUUACUCCCUGUAAGCUGCAUAAAUCAAAGAAAACCUUGUCUACCCAGGACUGUCUCCCAAAACCAUGGCCUCUCCUGAGGUGAAGCACGACUCAGCCCCUAGAACCACUGGGAAGAGGGCAGGCUUGUAAUGGCACUGAGAACACCCAUUUGCUUCCCGGUACCUUUAAAAGCCCAUCCCUCCAGUGACUGAUUUUAGUUCCUUGCUGGGAUAGUUUCUGGAUUCUCAUAGUCUGCUGCUGUGAUUUCCUAGAGGCAAACACAGAAAUAACCCUCCUUCCCCAAACACACACACAUUCUCUGGGAUCCCAGUGCUCUGGGGCCUUAGAGACAUCAUUUGUAGCCCGGGUGGUGAGUGUUCCCUGCAAAUCAGAGAUCCAGGCUAGCUUACUCCCUCUGCACCAGCCUCAGCCGGAGAGCCCACUCCAACUCAGCCCCUUCACCAUUCAUUCUUGGGAUGCAUCCAAGAAAGCACUGUUGGAACUGCUGUUUUUAAAUUAUUAAAAAUAAUUUGCAUAGCUAAAUUGUAGAUCUAAGGCUUCUAUGAAGAGGAGAGUUAAGUAUCUGACAGGGUGCUUAUGAAAACAGAGAAAGCAAGCUCCUGAAGUUCCACUUCUGGUGUAACUGAACAGUGCACGCACACGCACACGCACACACACGCACACGCAACAGCCAUCUCCUUGUCUCUUCUUGGGGAUAAUAACCCAGAGUGUGCUGAGACCCCCCCAACAAUGGAAAUGGGCUGUUCAGAAGAGCUGCAGAAGCAGCUACUGCUAGGGGCGACCCGGCUAAGCUGCCCCCAGGGCUCAGAAGAGGCAGGCGCGGCAGCUGCCCAGCCAGUGAGGAGGGACCAGUGGGGAGGCGGUAUAGCUCUGAAGCCAGUCAAGGCUUGUUUUCCCUAAAGAACUGCCCAGCAAGGUCUCAGCAGUAGGGACAGAAAAGCCAAAAGGAAGACAGUGCUUAAGCUUAGACUAGAUACCCCUCAGCCUCCAGCACUGGUGAUAAGGGGAGACUCAGAAUGACCGAUGUGUUAUGAUGAUUUAAGGCUUCUACAGAGGAUGGGCUCCUCCACGUUCCUUCAAAGAGGAUGGAGGUAGCAGACACCAGGGCCCACACUGAUCACCUGAUAUGCUGAGGAAGCCAAACAUUUCCCGAUAUGAGCUCAACUGUCUGUUCUGUCAACCCAGCAGCCACCUACACCCAGCUUCACUUUUCAGCAUAGAGCCUGCCUCUAGGGUCAUCCCAAGAGGACACACCUCCGAAUUUGGGGUCACUUACUUUCCAAUUGUAAACUCCAUGAUCCUAAGUUUCAAUCACUGUGUAAUGAGUCGCAUCAUCACUAAUACCCAGUUGCAGGAUUCCCCGAACUUCCUGAGAGGCCAUUUGCUGAAAACAUAGUUGCUUAGUGUAGACCUUGAUCAAGGCUGACUCUCUUUCCUUGGUCAAUUCGCCAUCCACUGGGAUUUACUAACCAGCAGCUGUGGGGUCUGAAACAUCUUAAACUUUCCCUUCCCAACAUCUACCCUC